UGAGGUCACAGAUGACUGUCCUGCCAUGCAAAGACUUCUCUUAACAGCCUUGUCUUGAGGCAGCUGGUUCUGUGGCAACUGGAAAGCAAGAAAGGUGGGAAACUAACCUUGAGAUUUUGAAAUGGAAACCCAAGUACAACUGAUUAACAUCUACAGUAUGCCUGGCAAGAUGCUGAAGAGUAAAUGAAGACAAGAGUUCCAAUCCUGGAUGUUCUUCUCUAAACCG